rnacentral:rRNA from 1 species
UGCGUAGGUGGUUUUUAAGUUAUCUGUGAAAUUCCUGGGCUCAACCUGGGAAGGCCAGAUAAGACUGGAAGACUUGGGUAUAGGAGAGGGCAGUGGAAUUCCGGUGUAGCGGUGAAAUGCGUAGGGAUCGGAAGGAACACCAGUGGCGAAGGCGACUGCCUGGCCUGAUACUGACACUGAGGCACGAAAGCGUGGGUAGCAAACA